UAGGGAAUCUUCGGCAAUGGGGGCAACCCUGACCGAGCAACGCCGCGUGAGUGAAGAAGGUUUUCGGAUCGUAAAGCUCUGUUGUAAGUCAAGAACGGGUGUGAGAGUGGAAAGUUCACACUGUGACGGUAGCUUACCAGAAAGGGACGGCUAACUACGUGCCAGCAGCCGCGGUAAUACGUAGGUCCCGAGCGUUGUCCGGAUUUAUUGGGCGUAAAGCGAGCGCAGGCGGUUUGAUAAGUCCGAAGUUAAAGGCUGUGGCUCAACCAUAGUUCGCUUUGGAAACUGUCAAACUUGAGUGCAGAAGGGGAGAGUGGAAUUCCAUGUGUAGCGGUGAAAUGCGUAGAUAUAUGGAGGAACACCGGUGGCGAAAGCGGCUCUCUGGUCUGUAACUGACGCUGAGGCUCGAAAGCGUGGGGAGCGAACAGGAUUAGAUACCCUGGUAGUCCACGCCGUAAACGAUGAGUGCUAGGUGUUGGAUCCUUUCCGGGAUUCAGUGCCGCAGCUAACGCAUUAAGCACUCCGCCUGGGGGAGUACGACCGCAAGGUUGAA
rnacentral:rRNA from 1 species